rnacentral:rRNA from 1 species
CUACAGGAUGCUGCAGUGAGGAAUAUUGCACAAUGGGGGGAACCCUGAUGCAGCAACGCCGCGUGGAGGAUGACGCAUUUCGGUGUGUAAACUCCUUUUAUAUGUCAAGAAAAUGACGGUAGCAUAUGAAUAAGCACCGGCUAACUCCGUGCACAGCAGCCGCGGUAAUACGGAGGGUGCAAGCGUUACUCGGAAUCACUGGGCGUAAAGGACGCGUAGGCGGGUUGGAAAGUCAGGUGUGAAAUCCUACAGCUUAACUGUAGAACUGCACUUGAAACUUCUAAUCUAGAGUAUGGGAGGGGGAGAUGGAAUUAGUGGUGUAGGGGUAAAAUCCGUAGAUAUCACUAGGAAUACCUAAAGCGAAGGCGAUCUCCUGGAACAUUACUGACGCUAAGGCGUGAAAGCGUGGGGAGCAAACAGGAUUAGAUACCCCCGUAGUC